rnacentral:lncRNA from 1 species
GUUCUCUUUCUGCCCCGAAUCCCUGGAGCGGGAGCGAGAGCCCGCCGCUCUCAGAGAUACCGAGAUAACCGCCUGCGAGGAGGCGCUUCGUGAACCCAGUGCAGUGCGUCGUGGGUCAGAUCCCUUAGACCCACGUAGGGACCGCGCUACAUCCUUACCGGGGGGAGUUACUUCUCUGGAAGACAUUUCAGUUGUUGGGAUUGAAAGUUAGGGCAAGAACUGCAGCAUGUCUUAUCUAUCCUCUCUCUUUAGUUUGGGUUCUGCAAAUUUCAUUAAUGUUUGAAAUAAACGCACGCUUUAACAGUACAUGUGUCAUCUCAGAUGACGCAUAAGA